ACACAUGCAGUCGAGGGGUAGAACACUUCGGUGUUUGAGACCGGCGCACGGGUGCGUAACGCGUAUGCAAUCUACCUUGUACAGGGGAAUAGCCCAGAGAAAUUUGGAUUAAUGCCCCAUAGUAUAUAACCUUCGCAUGUUGGUUAUAUUAAAGUUCCAACGGUACAAGAUGAGCAUGCGUCCCAUUAGUUAGUUGGUAAGGUAACGGCUUACCAAGACGAUGAUGGGUAGGGGUCCUGAGAGGGAGAUCCCCCACACUGGUACUGAGACACGGACCAGACUCCUACGGGAGGCAGCAGUGAGGAAUAUUGGUCAAUGGUCGCAAGACUGAACCAGCCAUGCCGCGUGCAGGAAGACGGUCCUAUGGAUUGUAAACUGCUUUUAUACAGGAAGAAACCCUCCCACGUGUGGGAGCUUGACGGUACUGUAGGAAUAAGGAUCGGCUAACUCCGUGCCAGCAGCCGCGGUAAUACGGAGGAUCCAAGCGUUAUCCGGAAUCAUUGGGUUUAAAGGGUCCGUAGGCGGUCUUAUAAGUCAGUGGUGAAAGCCCAUCGCUCAACGAUGGAACUGCCAUUGAUACUGUAAGACUUGAAUGCUUAGGAAGUAACUAGAAUAUGUAGUGUAGCGGUGAAAUGCUUAGAUAUUACAUGGAAUACCAAUUGCGAAGGCAGGUUACUACUAAGUGAUUGACGCUGAUGGACGAAAGCGUGGGGAGCGAACAGGAUUAGAUACCCUGGUAGUCCACGCCGUA
rnacentral:rRNA from 2 species